rnacentral:rRNA from 1 species
GUCCACGCCGUAAACGAUGGAUGCUAGAUGUCGGGGGUAUUGACCCCUCCGGUGUCGCAGCUAACGCAUUAAGCAUCCCGCCUGGGGAGUACGGCCGCAAGGCUAAAACUCAAAGGAAUUGACGGGGGCCCCGCACAAGCGGUGGAGCAUGUGGUUUAAUUCGACGCAACGCGCAGAACCUUACCUGGGUUAAAUCCGCCCGAACCUGGCAGAGAUGUCGGGGUGCCCUUCGGGGAGCGGGUGAGAAGGUGCUGCAUGGCUGUCGU